rnacentral:rRNA from 1 species
CCUACGGGUGGCACCAGUGGGGAAUAUUGGACAAUGGGGGGAACCCUGAUCCAGCCAUGCCGCGUGUGUGAAGAAGGCCUUAUGGUUGUAAAGCACUUUAAGCGAGGAGGAGGCUACUAGUAUUAAUACUACUGGAUAGUGGACGUUACACGCAGAAUAAGCACCGGCUAACUCUGUGCCAGCAGCCGCGGUAAUACAGAGGGUGCGAGUGUUAAUCGGAUUUACUGGGCGUAAAGCGUGCGUAGGCGGCCAUUUAAGUCAAAUGUGAAAUCCCCGAGCUUAACUUGGGAAUUGCAUUCGAUACUGGAUGGCUAGAGUAUGGGAGAGGGUGGUAGAAUUCCAGGUGUAGCGGUGAAAUGCGUAGAGAUCUGGAGGAAUACCGAUGGCGAAGGCAGCCAUCUGGCCUAAUACUGACGCUGAGGUACGAAAGCAUGGGGAGCAAACAGGAUUAGAUACCCCGGUAGUC